CGUGUUCUGGGCGUGUGCGUGUUCAGCCAAUCAUCUUGCGAAUCCUAACGCAUGGGGUGAUUCGCUCCGCCCCUCCACUCACGCUUCUCAAAGAGUCUUGCAUGCUCAUGUCCCGCAGAAUCAGAGACGCGACAGAAGCCGAUAAGAAGCGUUGUUUUAUCAACUCUCCUUUUGAAAGUAGCCGUGGGAUAAAAAAAAACAUUUUAUCAUAUCAGUUUUUCUCUUAGGUUGGACGCGUAUUUGGAUAUAUCCCGCGUGAUAGAACGCGGUAUUGUCAGUUGUCCCAACCGAAAUCGAGGAGUUUAUUCACUCGGAUCAGCCCGUUUCCAGCGACUAGACAGUCUCCAUCUGUCCCAUUUGCACGACAGGACGGUGGACAUCACUGGACUUUUACGGAUAGAAACUGGACGACACGCCGUGAUUUGAAUGCCUUUGCAGGGACUUGGCUGGCUUGUGUGCUGCAGACAAGGCUUCAGUUUGCUGGCUCGGGAUCAUGGGGAGAAAGAGGAGGAAGAGUCUUUUGAGUUACGCAAUCCGGACGAGCACACACACACGGGACGGGGGCAACUAGAGGUCACUCUGUCUCAGCCCACUUGCACAGCCAACGGCACACCCUGGAAGUCGACUCGCAGGCCCCUCUUGGGGGCCACUGCUGUGGACUCUGGGAAAAGAGUGGGCAGCAGUGGGUAGGAUUGGGAUGGGUUUGAUUGGACAGCCGUGGAAACCUUGUAGACACACACGCACACACACACACACACAUACACACAUUUAUCUCACAACCCUCACCUCUUUACAGAUCCACUACACCAGUCCAAACCUGCGUUCCAGCUGUGUCUAUUGAAUAAACCUCUACUUUACAGUUUCCAGACAUAAACUUCAAACACGCCUCCACAUCUAACACAUACUCACUCACACGAUCACACAACACAAAUCUGGCUAUAAACUUCAAUCUUCAGUCUCACAUCGGAAAGAAAAUGACAAAUUAGACCUCCAAAUGUCCCAGUUGAUUCUCUUACACAACAAGUUUAAAUAGAAAGCAAAUGGACAUUUUUUUUAAAUAACAGAUCUUAGCAAUAGAUAUGAUUUCAUCCAAGUUAUUUUCUGCGAAAAUUGUGUUAAACAUUUCUUAGGAAGUGUGAACAUUAUAGAAAUGGAGGGAAAUUGGCACAAAAUAGAAAUGGAAGUGGUAUACACUGGGGAAGCCACUCUUUUAUUAAAUGUGAUGAAUUAAUUAUGUUUUGGAGCACAAUAAGUGACUGACUGUAAAUACUUUAGAGAGCAACAGUGAAUGAGCCAAUCAUUUUGAUAGGAAAAAUUAAGAUGCAAAUUGUUUAGUCACGUUUAGUGACUUUUACCUAGGAAUUUAUUUGGUGUGUUUCUAUUGUAGUUUAUGCAUGUCUUCUUCCUAAAUAAAAACUGUAUCUGCCUCAAGUGAGCAUAUGCUUUUUUUCUAGCAUUUUGCCAAUUUUAUUCACAUCAUGGAACAUUUUUAUAUGAAUAUCACUUUGAAUUUAAAUUCAACCCAUACUGAAUAACAGUAUUUGAGCUGUGCUGUUCACAUACAUUUUAUAGUUCUACAAUUACAUUUUUAUGUCUCCAAAUUAAUUGUAGGAGUAACAUCUGGGACAAAGUUGAUACUUAUAUGAAACGCAAAUGAGAAUUCCAUAAAGUCUCUUAAGCAAUCACAGAUCAAUGUCUGAUCAAUAAAAUAUUAAUUUGGGCAAACAUAUCCACACACUCUGUAAACAUUCAUGAUAAUUUCAUCAUGAUACACAUUAAUAGUUUAAAAAUGAUCGCAUCAUCAUUUAAAACCACUGACUUUUCAGUCGGAAUGGCAAUGGCUC
ensembl:lncRNA